GGGUUGUGAGGUUAAGCGACUAAGCGUACACGGUGGAUGCCCUGGCAGUCAGAGGCGAUGAAGGACGUGCUAAUCUGCGAAAAGCGCCGGCGAGGUGAUAUGAACCCUUGACCCGGCGAUGUCCGAAUGGGGAAACCCAGUGCAAUCCGUUGCACUAUCGUUAACUGAAUACAUAGGUUAACGAGGCGAACCGGGGGAACUGAAACAUCUAAGUACCCCGAGGAAAAGAAAUCAACCGAGAUUCCCCCAGUAGCGGCGAGCGAACGGGGAGCAGCCCAGAGUCUGAAUCAGCUUGUGUGUUAGUGGAAGCGUCUGGAAAGUCGCACGGUACAGGGUGAAAGUCCCGUACACGAAAAUGCACAGGCUGUGAACUCGAAGAGUAGGGCGGGACACGUGGUAUCCUGUCUGAAUAUGGGGGGACCAUCCUCCAAGGCUAAAUACUCCUGACUGACCGAUAGUGAACCAGUACCGUGAGGGAAAGGCGAAAAGAACCCCGGCGAGGGGAGUGAAAAAGAACCUGAAACCGUGUACGUACAAGCAGUGGGAGCACCUUCGUGGUGUGACUGCGUACCUUUUGUAUAAUGGGUCAGCGACUUAUAUUCUGUAGCAAGGUUAACCGUAUAGGGGAGCCGAAGGGAAACCGAGUCUUAACUGGGCGUUAAGUUGCAGGGUAUAGACCCGAAACCCGGUGAUCUAGCCAUGGGCAGGUUGAAGGUUGGGUAACACUAACUGGAGGACCGAACCGACUAAUGUUGAAAAAUUAGCGGAUGACCUGUGGCUGGGGGUGAAAGGCCAAUCAAACCGGGAGAUAGCUGGUUCUCCCCGAAAGCUAUUUAGGUAGCGCCUCGUGAACUCAUCUUCGGGGGUAGAGCACUGUUUCGGCUAGGGGGCCAUCCCGGCUUACCAACCCGAUGCAAACUACGAAUACCGAAGAAUGUUAUCACGGGAGACACACGGCGGGUGCUAACGUCCGUCGUGAAGAGGGAAACAACCCAGACCGCCAGCUAAGGUCCCAAAGUCAUGGUUAAGUGGGAAACGAUGUGGGAAGGCCCAGACAGCCAGGAUGUUGGCUUAGAAGCAGCCAUCAUUUAAAGAAAGCGUAAUAGCUCACUGGUCGAGUCGGCCUGCGCGGAAGAUGUAACGGGGCUAAACCAUGCACCGAAGCUGCGGCAGCGACGCUUAUGCGUUGUUGGGUAGGGGAGCGUUCUGUAAGCCGUUGAAGGUGGUCUGUGAGGGCUGCUGGAGGUAUCAGAAGUGCGAAUGCUGACAUAAGUAACGAUAAAGCGGGUGAAAAGCCCGCUCGCCGGAAGACCAAGGGUUCCUGUCCAACGUUAAUCGGGGCAGGGUGAGUCGACCCCUAAGGCGAGGCCGAAAGGCGUAGUCGAUGGGAAACAGGUUAAUAUUCCUGUACUUGGUGUUACUGCGAAGGGGGACGGAGAAGGCUAUGUUAGCCGGGCGACGGUUGUCCCGGUUUAAGCAUGUAGGCGGAGGUUCCAGGUAAAUCCGGUACCUUUUAACGCUGAGGUGUGAUGACGAGGCACUACGGUGCUGAAGUAACAAAUGCCCUGCUUCCAGGAAAAGCCUCUAAGCAUCAGGUAACACGAAAUCGUACCCCAAACCGACACAGGUGGUCAGGUAGAGAAUACCAAGGCGCUUGAGAGAACUCGGGUGAAGGAACUAGGCAAAAUGGUGCCGUAACUUCGGGAGAAGGCACGCUGAUAUGUAGGUGAAGCCCCUGCGGGUGGAGCUGAAAUCAGUCGAAGAUACCAGCUGGCUGCAACUGUUUAUUAAAAACACAGCACUGUGCAAACACGAAAGUGGACGUAUACGGUGUGACGCCUGCCCGGUGCCGGAAGGUUAAUUGAUGGGGUUAGCGGUAACGCGAAGCUCUUGAUCGAAGCCCCGGUAAACGGCGGCCGUAACUAUAACGGUCCUAAGGUAGCGAAAUUCCUUGUCGGGUAAGUUCCGACCUGCACGAAUGGCGUAAUGAUGGCCAGGCUGUCUCCACCCGAGACUCAGUGAAAUUGAACUCGCUGUGAAGAUGCAGUGUACCCGCGGCAAGACGGAAAGACCCCGUGAACCUUUACUAUAGCUUGACACUGAACACUGGUCCUUGAUGUGUAGGAUAGGUGGGAGGCUUUGAAGCGUGGACGCCAGUCUGCGUGGAGCCAUCCUUGAAAUACCACCCUUUAAUGGCUGGUGUUCUAACGUAGACCCGUAAUCCGGGUUGCGGACAGUGUCUGGUGGGUAGUUUGACUGGGGCGGUCUCCUCCCAAAGAGUAACGGAGGAGCACGAAGGUUAGCUAAUCCUGGUCGGACAUCAGGAGGUUAGUGCAAUGGCAUAAGCUAGCUUGACUGCGAGAGUGACGGCUCGAGCAGGUGCGAAAGCAGGUCAUAGUGAUCCGGUGGUUCUGAAUGGAAGGGCCAUCGCUCAACGGAUAAAAGGUACUCCGGGGAUAACAGGCUGAUACCGCCCAAGAGUUCAUAUCGACGGCGGUGUUUGGCACCUCGAUGUCGGCUCAUCACAUCCUGGGGCUGAAGUAGGUCCCAAGGGUAUGGCUGUUCGCCAUUUAAAGUGGUACGCGAGCUGGGUUUAGAACGUCGUGAGACAGUUCGGUCCCUAUCUGCCGUGGGCGCUGGAGAAUUGAGGGGGGCUGCUCCUAGUACGAGAGGACCGGAGUGGACGCAUCACUGGUGUUCGGGUUGUCAUGCCAAUGGCACUGCCCGGUAGCUAAAUGCGGAAGAGAUAAGUGCUGAAAGCAUCUAAGCACGAAACUUGCCCCGAGAUGAGUUCUCCCUGAGACUUAAAGUCUCCUGAAGGAACGUUAAAGACGAUGACGUUGAUAGGUCGGGUGUGUAAGCGCAGCGAUGCGUUGAGCUAACCGAUACUAAUGAACCGUGAGGCUUAACCUUACAACGCCGAAG
rnacentral:rRNA from 1 species